GACGUAGGGUCCGAGCGUUGUCCGGAGUUACUGGGCGUAAAGGGCGCGUAGGCGGCCAUGCGUGUCUUCCGUGAAAUCCCUCGGCUUAACUGAGGACGUGCGGAAGAAACUGCAAGGCUCGAGUCCGGGAGAGGGGGGUGGAAUUCCCAGUGUAGCGGUGAAAUGCGUAGAUAUUGGGAGGAACACCGGUGGCGAAGGCGGCCCCCUGGACCGGUACUGACGCUGAGGCGCGAAAGCGUGGGUAGCAAACGGG
rnacentral:rRNA from 1 species